UACGUAGGGGGCAAGCGUUGUCCGGAUUUAUUGGGCGUAAAGAGCGUGUAGGCGGCCAGGUAGGUCUGGCGUGAAAACUCGAGGCUUAACCUCGAGAUGUCAUCGGAAACCAUUUGGCUAGAGUCCGGAAGAGGAGAGUGGAAUUCCAGGUGUAGUGGUGAAAUACGUAGAUAUCUGGAGGAACACCGGUGGCGAAGGCGGCGAUCUGGCCCAACACUGACACUGAGACCCGAAAGCAUGGGGAGCAAACAGG
rnacentral:rRNA from 1 species